CCUGGGCUGCGCCAUUGUUGGGGGAGGGGCGGCUGCUGAGGGCGGCGAGUAGGGGGCUAGAGAAGGCGCCAGCCCCGGCCCAGAGGAGCAGAGACGCCCCAUGGGGAACACGCUGACCUAUUGCGUGUCCCCCCAGUACCAGCCUCAAGCUGGGCCGGUGCGUGGUGCCAGAGCUGUACUGCGCAACCGACAUCUACGAGGCGGCACCCGGGGAUGCGGUGGCGGUAGCGCCCGCUUCUGUGGAGCCUACCAGUUGGAUUUCGCAGCGGGCGAGGGCCACCACCUGCAGCACAUCAGCGACCACGAGAUGCCCUAAGAUUUAGCUUUGGAGUCAAACCCUUCUGACCAUCCAAGGGCAAGCACAAGUUUCCUGAGCAAAUCUCAAACCGAUGUGCGAGACAAGAGGAAGAGCAACCACUUAAAUCAUCUAUCUCCAGGGCAGCUUACUAAAAAGUAUAGCUCAUGCUCAACAAUAUUUCUAGGUGACAGAACAGUCAGCCAGCCUAACCUUAGAACCACAGUAAAAUGUGACCUUAGAAAUAUAUUACCACAUAAAGAACAGAGAUGCAAACAGAUCCCUGGAUAUUUUUGAUGAGAGAUCACAUCCCCUCACACGAGAAAAAGUUCCACAGGAAUAGUUUAAGCAUGAUCCUGAGCACAAAUUUAUUUACAGAUUUGUUCAUACUCUUUUUAGUGCUGCACAGCUAACAGCUGAAUGUGCAACAGUAACUCUGGUUUACUUAGAAAGGCUUUUAACUUAUGCUGAAAUCGACAUUUGCCCCACUAACUAGAAAAGGAUUGUUCUGGGAGCCACUCUUCUUGCCUCCAAGGUUUGGGAUGAUCAGGCUGUAUGGAAUGUGGACUACUGCCAGAUCCUCAAGGACAUUACAGUUGAGGACAUGAAUGAAAUGGAAAGGCAUUUUUCGGAGCUUCUUCAGUUUAAUAUUAAUGUUCCUGCUAGUGUUUAUGCCAAACACUACCUUGACCAUCGCUCCUUAGCAGAUGACCACCUGAAUUUUCUAUUUGCUCCUCUUAGCAAAGAAAGAGCACAGAACCUAGAGGCUAUUUCUAGAUUAUGUGAAGACAAAGACUUGUGUGGAGCAGCUGUAAGAAGGUCUUUCAGCGCUGAUCAACUUCAUUGGUAUUCAGCACUCUAAAGCCAUCCUCUCUUAAAGGGAGAAAUGAGGGGUUAUAAUGUCACGGGACCUUCAUCUACAAAGACUGGAGAAAUACCACCUUUCCUGCUCAAAAACCAGCAAAAUUAGUGUUUUCAUCAAAAGGAAAGAUCUCAAAUUCAAGAGACGCACGGACAACAAGGAUCAUACUCCAUAGAAAAGAAUGGGACCUUGUCAAUGCAACAAAACACUCUUCUGUCCUUUUUAAUGUAAACAGAGUCACCAAAACCACUCCAAAGUGAAGGCUCCCAUCCCACACACAGAUAUUUGCUUACAAUGUGGGCCAGUAACUGAACUAUGUUAGGUUUUUUAAACAAUAGUUUAAAUUUUUAGACUUUAAAGACAUUAACCAUAUAACUUUUAUGUUUCUUCCAGUUUUUCUCCCCCUGCUCAUUUUGCUGCAUAUGCCUUUAGAAUCAAUGCAGUAUUGCCCUUAAAACAAGGGACUCUAACUAAAGCCACUUAGGAGCAGACUGCAGCAUUGUUAGGUAUUGAAGGGUUCUUCCUCCCUACUGUUACCAUUAAAGCUGCUAGUCAUUGGCAAUCAUUUUAAACCAAAAAGCUGAUGGAUAACAUUUGUCAUUCAUAUUCUUUGCAAGCAUUACUUUAGCAUUUUAGCAUGUCUGCGGUCAUAAACAAAGGAAGUAUCAGUUAUGAUAUCUACUUCUAUUGGGGUCCAUGUUGCAUUUCUUGUGAACUAUAAAUGGUACUUCUCAUUUUCUGAUAAUUUUUAUCUUAUUAAAUAAAUGUAUUAAAAGAUAUUUUCAUAAUGCCAAUGAACAUGGUGGUUCAGUGACAGUGAAAAAAAAGUAAAGCAGUUUUAAGCUUUAAUAUAGUUUGGGCCCUCCAAGGUACUGCAGCAGGAGUAUAAAUGCUAUAAACCUUUGAAAAACAUCAUUUGAGAGUUUUGUUUUUUUUCUUUAAGAGAUGGGGGUCUUGCUGUGUUGUCCAGGCUGGAGUAUGGUGGCUGUUCACCAGUGCAGUCAUGGUGCACUGCAGCCUAGAACUUCCUGGCUUCGCGCCAUCCUCUAGCCUCGGCCACACGAGUGGCUGGGACUGCAGGCGCACCCUGCAUUUGUCUCCUGAAUGUUAGGCUUUUGAUUUUUUGUUUCAGUCACUCUUGAAGUCACUCUUGACUGAAGCAAAAAAUUAAAAGCUUUAUAUUCAAAAUUCUCAAAAUGAAGCUGGGUGUGGUGGUGCACACCUGAGGUUCCAGCUACUUGGGUGGCUGGAGGAUUGCUUGGGGUCAGGUAUUGGAGGCUGCAGUGUAUCGUGAUGGUGCCUAUAGAAAUAGCUACUGCACUUCAACCUGGACAACAUAUCGGGACCCCAUCUCUUAGAAAAAUGCAAAAUUAAAUGCAAAAGAAAUGCACCGGGCAUAGUGAUUCAUGCCUAUAAUCUCAGUACUUUGGGAGGCUGAGGUGGGAGGAUUACUUGAGCGCAGCAGUUCAAGACCAGUCUAGUCAACACAGUGAGCCCCUGUCUGUAAAAAAUAAUAAUAAAUAAAAAUAAUUAGC
ensembl:lncRNA CCNYL6 cyclin Y like 6 (pseudogene)